rnacentral:misc_RNA from 1 species
AUUGUGUUGCCCCCAUACAUGUAUUCGGGGCGAAGCUUGGCCUCCCGUGAGCCCAAACUCGCGGAUGGCUUAAAAACGAGCCUCGAGACGGUUAGACGUCGCGACAAGUGGUGGUUACGAGGCCUUUGUGCCUUUGAGCUUUGCGUGUCGCUGCCGUCGUCUGUCUCUCUCGAAAUUAAAACCCGAACGGAGCAUCCUCGAUGUUUCCAGCAUUGCGACCCCAGGUCAGGCGGGAAUACCCGCUGAGUUUAAGCAUAUCAAUAA